UAUUUGCACAAUGGGCGCAAGCCUGAUGCAGCCAUGCCGCGUGUAUGAAGAAGGCCUUCGGGUUGUAAAGACUUUCAGCAGUGAGGAAGGCGGAGUCGUUAAUAGCGGCCUCGUUUGACGUUAGCUGCAGAAGAAGCACCGGCUAACUCCGUGCCAGCAGCCGCGGUAAUACGGAGGGUGCGAGCGUUAAUCGGAAUUACUGGGCGUAAAGCGCAUGCAGGUGGUUUGUUAAGUCAGAUGUGAAAGCCCGGGGCUCAACCUCGGAAUUGCAUUUGAAACUGGCAGACUAGAGUACUGUAGAGGGGGUAGAAUUUCAGGUGUAGCGGUGAAAAUGCGUAGAGAUCUGAAGGAAUACCGGUGGCGAAGGCGGCCCCCUGGACAGAUACUGACACUCAGAUGCGAAAGCGUGGGGAGCAAACAGGAUUAGAUACCCUGGUAG
rnacentral:rRNA from 1 species